CUACGCGGCUUGGCGCUGGCCGAGGCGGCGGCCGGCAGCAGGAGAUGGUGAGGCUGAGCGUGCAGCAGCGCAGGAGGCACCAGCAGUUUGCGCGGCACUGGCUGCGGCGAAGAGGCGGAGGCCGAGGAGCCUAUCAAAGGUGCGAAUCUGAAGCCGGGGAGGCGGCAUUUCCAAGCGGACCGGCUUUGGAGGUCACAGCUCCGCGGAGUGCGGGCUAGUGGCCGAAAGAGCUGCGAGGCCAGGGUCUUCCAUUUGCCGGUGUGAACUCGGGUGCCCCGGUCCCUUGAGGCCAUCCCUGACUCUUCGCGCUGGGAGAACCGAAUUUCGCAGAGCUCAUCACUGAGGAGACUUUGCCGGGAAUUAAGUCCUUCCUUCUGUUACUCAGUAGUCGAUUGAGGGUAAGAACAAAAAAUCACAUUGUGCCCUGACUAGAUACGUUACUGUUGCUAAAAUCGUCAACUAUAAUGUUCUGUGGAUGAUGUACUUCCUGGAAACCUAGAAAUUUCAGAUUUGAAGGUAAGAGUCUACCUGGGGAAUUUUUUUAACUUUUGUGAUCGAACCCUGAAAGAUUUUAAUCUUACUACAACUAUUAUAACUCAUAUUAGCCCGCCCCUCCCCAAAAUAAUCCGUUAACGAUAUUUACAGACUUUUUCAAAUGAUUAAGUGUUGUUUUAACGUUUAGUUAGUACCCUAAGUGUUCGAUGUUUUGUAAACAUAUGCUUUGCUUUCUAGCUUAGGAAAUAAGGAAUUUGGGAAGAUGGUUCACAUUGCAACUAAAAAGAGGAGUAGGAUUUUUAUUUAACCCUUAAGAUCUUACAUAGAUCAAAAAGUCAAAAGGAAUAGAUGUAAAAAUAAAAGUAGACAAAUCAAGAGAUGACCAGUGGGGGUAUAUUUUGAGUCCUAAAGAGGCCCUAAGUUGCCUAUAACUUUACGGACAACAGUUAAAAAUAACUUUGAAGGAUUACCAAUUCUUGCGACCUCAUGAAGUUAGAAUUAUUUUGGUUUUCCUUUUUUGUUAUUUGCUUUUGUUUUAGACUCUUUUGGAGUCAAAUUUUAGUAUUGAUUUAUAGAACUUUUUUAGGUGCCUAAACUUUUUAAAGUAAUGAAGGUAUUUACUUUUUUAAAUACAUAAUGAAAGCAAAUGAAAAUUGUUAUUGGAAUUGACUAGCAGCAGAUACCUCCUUGUAAAGUAACCCUGGUGGAAGAGUGAAUGGGGCUGGAAAUCAUCUGCUACCAACUAGCCUUGAGACCUCAGUCAGAGGGUUUCAUCUGUCAGAACCUCUGUCUUACUUGCUGAGUGAAUAAAUAUGAUUACGUGAUCACUAAGGUCUCCUCUGGCUCUAAACUUAUAGUGUAUCCAAGAAGCUUUUCAAAAUCUCACCAAAACUAUUACAGUUAAAAUAUCUUAAUUGUUGACCCUCUAGAUACAGAAAAGUGUUUCAAAUAAUUAGCAUAGUGGCCUGGUAACUUACUUGCCCUGUUUAUUUUCUCAUCUCCCGCACAGAAGUCUGGAAAAUCUGACUUUGUAAGGACCCAGAUAAAGUGUACUCUCACCUGGGUGAAUUUCUUAUUCCUAAUACUAUAUUCUUUUAUACUGUUAUAUACUUUUACCAGGCCUGACCCUAAAUUUGCAGAGCCUAGGCAAGAGUAUGACUGUAAGAGCUCAAAUACCAUAUGUCUAAAUAUUUAAGAUACAAAUCAAGAUAACAAACUAUUAUAAAAAAUAUAUUCUACUCUACUACCUUGAUAAAUCUACUUAAAUAAUGAUCUGGAAGAUCAUGUUUAUUUUUUGUUUGUUUUCUUUCUCUUAGGCCAUGUUUAAAUUUAGAGCUUUCUGACUUCUAGAGUCCUCAGACUAUACCAGUUCUCUUCCCAUCCCACCUUCUUCACCCACCACACCAGAAGGGACCAUGAAUGCAAGCACCCAAAUUGUCCCAUCUUACGUUUACACCCUCAGCUCCUGCACAUAGUGAUGUGUAGUUGGCAGCUCUCUCCACCCUUAGAUCUAACCAAUCUAAAUGAGAAUGCAGGCUCCAGACAGUCAUGGCCACUUGACCUCAUGGACUCCUUGCCUUUCGCAGCUGGAGAAGGAUCCUUACCAGAUCUAAGGGCAAUACUGUUAUAAAACAUGAUCAAUUGUCUGUUUUCUCUCCCCUAUAGUCAGGCAUUCCAUUACAACUAGAACAUUCCUAACAACAUUGGAAUAGAGAAUUCCCACCACCAUCCCCAAUUCCUGUUGGCUUAAUCUCUGCUCACACUGAAACCAUCCACUUGUCUCCAUGGGCCUUGCUGGCACCCUCUUUCAAGUACUAGCCCCUCUCUCUUGGAUGACUACACUAAUCUUUAUUCUGGUUUCCCUAUAUUCUAGUUUUUUCAAAUCUGUUCUCCAUUUAUUCCACCAUAAUGCUCUUUUCAAAACCUAAAUCUGACCAUGUCACUUUCCUUGCUUCAGACCUAUCGAUGGCUUCCAUUGCUCUUAGGAUAAAGAACAAAAUCCUUAAUAUGACUUACAAGACCCAGCAGAAUAGCUCUACCUAUAUAUAGAUCUGAACAGGUGAAAGAACACCAAGUUUAUAGCAUGAGAUUUU